UCUACAAUUACUGACUGCCUCCCAUUGCUAUGGAGGUGGUUCAAUGUACCACACAGCUGGUCCUCAGGUAAAUCACCUGCUUCGCAUCAGUUACCUGUUUCACGUUAGUUACCUGUUUCAGGUAGCGUGCUCAUGUUGCAUGAACUUUCAUCACCU